GAAAGUGACGAAGCAUUUUGUUCAUCGAAAAAAAAUACCAGUACCAUCGAUUCGAAGGGGUUAAAUUUAUUAGUUCGUUCGAAUAUAACAUAACCUGCUGUGAAUACCAUACCAUAAACAAACUGUUCGAAUAUUGAAACAUUCGAAAAAUUGUAUCAAAAAUAAAAUGAAAUGAAAUGAUCACCAUCAUCAUCAUUCAAGAUAUCAAAUUGUAAAAUAUCAUUAGCUACCGAAGGUGACAAUUUACCAUCAUUAUCAUUUUAACCUGUUGAGAUUAAUCUCAAUCUAAUAGUCAACCUAUUGUUUUUUUGUCAUUUGGAAAAUGUAAAUGGAAAAUCCGUUUUUAUUUAUUCGAUCCAGAUAUUUUUUUUCUGUUGCUAUCGACAAGGUUGUCUCCUGUCUAGACUUUUGGUUCGAUUAAUCAGUUUUUUUUUGGUCAUUAUCAUCAUUAUGGUUGG